UGAGCAAUCUGCCCUUCACAUCGGAAUAACCAUUGGAAACGAUGGCUAAUACCGAAUAUGACUUCGGAUCGCAUGAUCUGAAGUGGAAAGCUCCGGCGGAGAAGGAUGAGCUCGCGGCCUAUCAGCUAGUUGGUGUGGGUAAUGGCCCACCAAGGUGACGACGGGUAGCCGGCCUGAGAGGGUGACCGGCCACACUGGGACUGAGACACGGCCCAGAUCCGUACGGGG
rnacentral:rRNA from 1 species